rnacentral:rRNA from 1 species
GUGGGGAAUAUUGCACAAUGGGCGCAAGCCUGAUGCAGCAUCGCCGCGUGAGGGAUGACGGCCUUCGGGUUGUAAACCUCUUUUAGUAGGGAAGAAGCGAAAGUGACGGUACCUGCAGAAAAAGCACCGGCUAACUACGUGCCAGCAGCCGCGGUAAUACGUAGGGUGCAAGCGUUGUCCGGAAUUAUUGGGCGUAAAGAGCUCGUAGGCGGCUUGUCGCGUCUGCUGUGAAAUCCCGGGGCUCAACCCCGGGCCUGCAGUGGGUACGGGCAGGCUAGAGUGCGGUAGGGGAGAUUGGAAUUCCUGGUGUAGCGGUGGAAUGCGCAGAUAUCAGGAGGAACACCGAUGGCGAAGGCAGAUCUCUGGGCCGCUACUGACGCUGAGGAGCGAAAGCAUGGGGAGCGAACAGGAUUAGAUACCCGUGUAGUCC